GUUUCGUUGGAACCCGACAAUUGAGAUUUGCUGAGUUUUAAUUUUUCGAUUAUUGGUUUCUAUGUGAAUCAUCCAUCAUCUUCCUAAUUGAAGGUUUUGAUUAGUGCAGAGCGAAAGUCAGAGGCUCGAAGGCGAUUAGAUGCUGUCAUAAUUUGGGCUAUAAAAUGUGCUGUCUGGCGAUCCGACGGGGUAUUGUUGUCUUGUCGAGGAGCUUCCUGCAAGCGAAAGUCUUUUGGUCCCGUAUGGAGUAUGGUUACAAAGCUGGUGCUUAAGAAUUCGAUGGAACAGUGCCGUUCAGCACAGGAAACUCACAGUGCCGGACGUCGUGGUGACCAUCU
rnacentral:ncRNA from 1 species